rnacentral:rRNA from 1 species
GAUGAACGCUGGCGGCGUGCCUAAUACAUGCAAGUCGAGCGAACAGACAAUGAGCUUUUGCUUUUAACGUUGGCGGCUGACGGGCGGGUAACACGUGGAUAACCUUCUUCUAUUUCGUGGAUGAUUUUGGGAAGCCGGUUCCAAUACCGGAGAAUAUAUUGUACCGCAGGGUGCAAUAGUGAAUCACGGUUUUGGUGUCUCUUUUAGAUGGUUCCGUGCCGGAUUAGCUAGUUGGUAAGGUAACGGCUUACCAAGGCGACGAUGCGUAGCCGACCUGAGAGGGUGAUCGGCCACACUGGAACUGAGACACGGUCCAGACUCCUACGGGAGGCAGCAGUAGGGAAUCUUCCGCAAUGGGCGAAAGCCUGACGGAGCAACGCCGCGUGAGUGAUGAAGGUCUUCGGGUCGUAAAACUCUGUUAUUAGGGAAGAAAAAAUGUGUAAGUAACUAUGCCCGUCUUGACGGUACCUAAUCAGAAAGCAACGGCUAACUACGUG